CCCUCGUCGCUUCCACAGUUUCGGGUUCAGCGAGCGGUCAACUUAUGGCUGGAGCAGCUCACCCGUGACCCUGCAUCUCAAAAUGCCGGCAUCUGUUUCAUUCUUGACUUCGGUGGCUGGUCAUUCUCCAAGAUUCGGGCGUGUGAAAUAGGCCUCGCCAGGAAAGCUAUUCGGCUUUUGCAGGACGGCCUACCACUGGAAAUCACAAGAGCGCAUGUGUUGAGACAGCCAAGGACUUUCAGCAUAUUUUUCUCACUUCUGAAACCAUUCAUCAGCAAGGACGAAAUAUCCAGGUUCCACCUACACGGCGAAGACUUCGGAAACCUCCACGCUGAAGUUCCAAAGAAUAUACUUCCCAAGGAAUACGGAGGUACAGCUGUAUUUGACUUCGAGGGCCUCUGGGAACGUCUGCGGGGGCAAGACAGCUGAGAAACUGGAUUACAACCAAAAAUGCACCCAACAAACCCAGUUUCCUGCAUCUGCCUUCUGCUGUGUGCUGUAUAGAUGUCUGAUACAUCGACCUGGGGUUUCGAUCCUUAAAACAACAUGUGAGCGGUACGCUAGUCAGUAUAACCACAAAUUGCGAUUUCCAUUUAUUUGUACGCAUGUAAAGAAAUAAGCAAAUGUGUCACCUUUCUUUUUUUCGUUCGAUGUUUUUCGGAUGACUGUCAGCACAGCCAUCUGGCUCGUAUGGAUAAAGUU